UAGGGAAUCUUCCACAAUGGACGCAAGUCUGAUGGAGCAACGCCGCGUGAGUGAAGAAGGUUUUCGGAUCGUAAAGCUCUGUUGUUGGUGAAGAAGGAUAGAGGUAGUAACUGGCCUUUAUUUGACGGUAAUCAACCAGAAAGUCACGGCUAACUACGUGCCAGCAGCCGCGGUAAUACGUAGGUGGCAAGCGUUGUCCGGAUUUAUUGGGCGUAAAGCGAGCGCAGGCGGAAGAAUAAGUCUGAUGUGAAAGCCCUCGGCUUAACCGAGGAACUGCAUCGGAAACUGUUUUUCUGGAGUGCAGAAGGGGAGAGUGGAAUUCCAUGUGUAGCGGUGGAAUGCGUAGAUAUAUGGAAGAACACCAGUGGCGAAGGCGACUCUCUGGUCUGCAACUGACGCUGAGGCUCGAAAGCAUGGGUAGCGAACAGG
rnacentral:rRNA from 1 species